CAGUAUAUAGUUUACUAAUUUGGAAGAUAGGAAUACAAUUUCACCUAAUUAGCAUAAGGCCAAAGACCAAAAAGUUGUACUAAUUUUACAAUAAUGUAAUUAAAAAACAUCAAAAUUACACACAAUGCCACUCCUUUAAAAGGAAGCACACUAUGCCACAUGUCCACCUCUGGCGAUCUCCCUUCCGGUCAGCUACCAUUGCCGCCGGACAACCUCCUUUCGGCUAGCUGUCGUCGUUGCCGGUCAACCACCACCACUUGCCGCCGGCCAACUGUCACCACCGUCGCCACCAGCCAGCCACCUACCGCCACCGCCCAUCACCGGCCAACCACAGCCACCUGCGGCCGCCCAUCUCUGACUAACUGGGGACUAAUUCCAUUGCCCUUUAUUCACUCUAAAAAAAUAGAAGAAUUUGUGUCACUAAAGGGACUCGAACCUUGACCCUCAAAAGAGGAACCCUCACUCACAAACCACUACACCAAACUUAUUUUUGUGAUAUCUAUUCAAUUACACAAUAUUUAUAUAAACAGUCAUCGAUUAAAAAAAUAAAAUAAAUAAAAUUAUUUCAACACAGAUUCAUGCAAAAACUGUAAAAACAAAGAAGUAAAACAAAAACAAAAACAAAAACUACAAAUAAAACACAAAAAUAAAACCAUCAAAAGGCCUCAUAGAAGAAGAAUUACACAAGAAAAUUGUCGUGGCAAACAAACCAAAGAAAGAAAAGGCCAACACAAAACAAAAGAAGAAAACAAAGAAAGGGAAAGCAAAAAAAGAAGUUGGAGAAGAAGAAGAGGAAGAUGAGGUUGUUGAUUACAAUAAUGACGUGGUCAGCCUAAUCUGAGAAAAGAUUUGUUAUAUAUCUUUACUGUCAUAUAAUCUUAUAACAAGAUGUAACAAACGGAAAUGGAAGAGGAAAUUGCACUGCAUUUUUUGAUCAAAAACUACAACAAACUGAAAGUGCAAUGCAGUUUAUGACAACAUUUGCUCAAAUUUGCAAAGAAACCAAAAGGCAAAGC
rnacentral:lncRNA from 1 species